rnacentral:lncRNA from 1 species
AAACUGAUUUAUAAGAGGAACUCAAAAUCAGAUCAAAUCUGAUUUUUUUUUAAUUUUUUCUUCUUAAGAGAAAAAUCAAGAUCUAUAGAAGAAAAUAAGAGAUUAGAUCUCUUGUUCUUCCUUCUUGUCCAACCUUUGGACUAGAUCUAAAGAGAGAAUGUGGAGUAUCAUCAAUUGUUGAGAUUUGAUGUCAUGAGAUUCGAUCCACAUUGAGCCCAC